GUAACAAGGUCUCCGUUGGUGAACCAGCGGAGGGAUCAUUACCGAGUUUACAACUCCCAAACCCCUGUGAACAUACCUUAAUGUUGCCUCGGCGGAUCAGCCCGCGCCCCGUAAAACGGGACGGCCCGCCAGAGGACCCAAACUCUAAUGUUUCUUAUUGUAACUUCUGAGUAAAACAAACAAAUAAAUCAAAACUUUCAACAACGGAUCUCUUGGUUCUGGCAUCGAUGAAGAACGCAGCAAAAUGCGAUAAGUAAUGUGAAUUGCAGAAUUCAGUGAAUCAUCGAAUCUUUGAACGCACAUUGCGCCCGCUGGUAUUCCGGCGGGCAUGCCUGUUCGAGCGUCAUUUCAACCCUCAAGCCCCCGGGUUUGGUGUUGGGGAUCGGCUCUGCCUUCUGGCGGUGCCGCCCCCGAAAUACAUUGGCGGUCUCGCUGCAGCCUCCAUUGCGUAGUAGCUAACACCUCGCAACUGGAACGCGGCGCGGCCAUGCCGUAAAACCCCAACUUCUGAAUGUUGACCUCGGAUCAGGUAGGAAUACCCGCUGAACUUAAGCAUAUCAAUAA
rnacentral:rRNA from 1 species